rnacentral:rRNA from 1 species
AUACGGAGGGUGCAAGCGUUACUCGGAAUCACUGGGCGUAAAGCGCGCGCAGGCGGCUAUUUAAGUUGGAUGUGAAAGCCUACGGCUCAACCGUAGAACUGCAUCCAAAACUAUUUAGCUAGAGUGCGGGAGAGGAAGAUGGAAUUAGUUGUGUAGGGGUAAAAUCCGUAGAGAUAACUAGGAAUACCAAAAGCGAAGGCAAUCUUCUGGAACACUACUGACGCUGAGGCGCGAAAGCGUGGGGAGCAAACGGGAUUAGAAACCCUAGUAGUCC